GAUGAACGCUAGCUACAGGCUUAACACAUGCAAGUCGAGGGGCAGCAUGAGAGUAGCUUGCUACUCUUGAUGGCGACCGGCGCACGGGUGCGUAACGCGUAUCCAACCUGCCGUGUACUCCGGGAUAGCCCUCUGAAAGGAGGAUUAAUACCGGAUGUGGUCGGGUGAAGGCAUCUUUGCCCGAUUAAAGAUUUAUCGGUACACCGAUGGGGAUGCGUACGAUUAGGUAGUCGGCGGGGUAACGGCCCACCGGGGCAUCGAUCGGUAGGGGUUCUGAGAGGAAGGUCCCCCACACUGGUACUGAGACACGGACCAGACUCC
rnacentral:rRNA from 1 species